CAGUAGCCGCGGUAAUACGAAGGGUGCAAGCGUUACUCGGAAUUACUGGGCGUAAAGCGUGCGUAGGUGGUGGUUUAAGUCCGUUGUGAAAGCCCUGGGCUCAACCUGGGAAUUGCAGUGGAUACUGGGUCACUAGAGUGUGGUAGAGGAUAGUGGAAUUUCCGGUGUAGCAGUGAAAUGCGUAGAGAUCGGAAGGAACAUCUGUGGCGAAGGCGACUAUCUGGGCCAACACUGACACUGAGGCACGAAAGCGUGGGGAGCAAACAGGAUUAGAUACCCCCGUAGUCCCUGGCUCUUAUAC
rnacentral:rRNA from 1 species